UCAUCUCCGGGGGUAGAGCACUGUUUCGGCAAGGGGGUCAUCCCGACUUACCAACCCGAUGCAAACUGCGAAUACCGGAGAAUGUUAUCACGGGAGACACACGGCGGGUGCUAACGUCCGUCGUGAAGAGGGAAACAACCCAGACCGCCAGCUAAGGUCCCAAAGUCAUGGUUAAGUGGGAAACGAUGUGGGAAGGCCCAGACAGCCAGGAUGUUGGCUUAGAAGCAGCCAUCAUUUAAAGAAAGCGUAAUAGCUCACUGGUCGAGUCGGCCUGCGCGGAAGAUGUAACGGGGCUAAACCAUGCACCGAAGCUGCGGCAGCGACGCUUAUGCGUUGUUGGGUAGGGGAGCGUUCUGUAAGCCUGUGAAGGUGUACUGUGAGGUAUGCUGGAGGUAUCAGAAGUGCGAAUGCUGACAUAAGUAACGAUAAAGCGGGUGAAAAGCCCGCUCGCCGGAAGACCAAGGGUUCCUGUCCAACGUUAAUCGGGGCAGGGUGAGUCGACCCCUAAGGCGAGGCCGAAAGGCGUAGUCGAUGGGAAACAGGUUAAUAUUCCUGUACUUGGUGUUACUGCGAAGGGGGGACGGAGAAGGCUAUGUUGGCCGGGCGACGGUUGUCCCGGUUUAAGCGUGUAGGCUGGUUUUCCAGGCAAAUCCGGAAAAUCAAGGCUGAGGCGUGAUGACGAGGCACUACGGUGCUGAAGCAACAAAUGCCCUGCUUCCAGGAAAAGCCUCUAAGCAUCAGGUAACAUCAAAUCGUACCCCAAACCGACACAGGUGGUCAGGUAGAGAAUACCAAGGCGCUUGAGAGAACUCGGGUGAAGGAACUAGGCAAAAUGGUGCCGUAACUUCGGGAGAAGGCACGCUGAUAUGUAGGUGAAGCGACUUGCUCGUGGAGCUGAAAUCAGUCGAAGAUACCAGCUGGCUGCAACUGUUUAUUAAAAACACAGCACUGUGCAAACACGAAAGUGGACGUAUACGGUGUGACGCCUGCCCGGUGCCGGAAGGUUAAUUGAUGGGGUUAGCGCAAGCGAAGCUCUUGAUCGAAGCCCCGGUAAACGGCGGCCGUAACUAUAACGGUCCUAAGGUAGCGAAAUUCCUUGUCGGGUAAGUUCCGACCUGCACGAAUGGCGUAAUGAUGGCCAGGCUGUCUCCACCCGAGACUCAGUGAAAUUGAACUCGCUGUGAAGAUGCAGUGUACCCGCGGCAAGACGGAAAGACCCCGUGAACCUUUACUAUAGCUUGACACUGAACAUUGAGCCUUGAUGUGUAGGAUAGGUGGGAGGCUUUGAAGUGUGGACGCCAGUCUGCAUGGAGCCGACCUUGAAAUACCACCCUUUAAUGUUUGAUGUUCUAACGUUGACCCGUAAUCCGGGUUGCGGACAGUGUCUGGUGGGUAGUUUGACUGGGGCGGUCUCCUCCUAAAGAGUAACGGAGGAGCACGAAGGUUGGCUAAUCCUGGUCGGACAUCAGGAGGUUAGUGCAAUGGCAUAAGCCAGCUUGACUGCGAGCGUGACGGCGCGAGCAGGUGCGAAAGCAGGUCAUAGUGAUCCGGUGGUUCUGAAUGGAAGGGCCAUCGCUCAACGGAUAAAAGGUACUCCGGGGAUAACAGGCUGAUACCGCCCAAGAGUUCAUAUCGACGGCGGUGUUUGGCACCUCGAUGUCGGCUCAUCACAUCCUGGGGCUGAAGUAGGUCCCAAGGGUAUGGCUGUUCGCCAUUUAAAGUGGUACGCGAGCUGGGUUUAGAACGUCGUGAGACAGUUCGGUCCCUAUCUGCCGUGGGCGCUGGAGAACUGAGGGGGGCUGCUCCUAGUACGAGAGGACCGGAGUGGACGCAUCACUGGUGUUCGGGUUGUCAUGCCAAUGGCACUGCCCGGUAGCUAAAUGCGGAAGAGAUAAGUGCUGAAAGCAUCUAAGCACGAAACUUGCCCCGAGAUGAGUUCUCCCUGACCCUUUAAGGGUCCUGAAGGAACGUUGAAGACGACGACGUUGAUAGGCCGGGUGUGUAAGCGCAGCGAUGCGUUGAGCUAACCGGUACUAAUGAACCGUGAGGCUUAACCUU
rnacentral:rRNA from 1 species